CUGCUGUGCCCAUCAGAGGGGAGAUCCCAGGCUGCAGUGGUGCCCUUGGUUAUGUUUUUGGCCGAUCUACGCUUACAGAUGAUAUUGGUGUGCAAAUACCCUCUUCUUUGGACCUGCUCCCAUGGCAGCUCCCUGGGAGGCUCCGCUCUGCAGCUGGAGGGGUCGAAGUGAUUCUCUGGCAUUUUGCUGGUUUACCUGGUGCAGAUUUACCUGGUCUGUGACGCUGGAUAAAGUCAGGAUCUAAUUCUUUUUCAGCCCAAAGGUACAUCCCACUGCUCCUUGGGGGGCUGGAGGAGGCUGGAUUGACACCUGGAGGAAGCAGCUGAACUGGUGACAAGACACUGGAAAAUGCCCUUGGAGGAGGCAAAGGAAUGGCCCAGGCAGCUAAAAGACCACGUGCAGGGAUCAGGUUUUUUCGGUAAGUGCCUUAAAAACAGACCCAACCAGCACAAGAUGAGCUUGAACGUUGCAUUUCAGUUCAAGUCCCUUUUCCAAGAGACUGGUUUCCGAUUCCUUGGAUGGGAGGGGGAGCUGCAUGUGCAUUU